rnacentral:rRNA from 1 species
AGAGUUUGAUCAUGGCUCAGAGCGAACGCUGGCGGCGUGCUUAACACAUGCAAGUCGAACGCGCAGCAUUCUGUAGCAAUACAGGGUGUGGGCGCGUGGCGAACGGGUGCGUAACACGUGGAUAACCUUCCUUCAGGUGGGGAAUAACCCAGUGAAAAUUGGGCUAAUACCGCAUAACAAAGCGAGAAGACAUCUUUUUGCUUUCAAAGCCGCAAGGCGCCAGAAGAGGGAUCCGCGGCCGAUUAGCUUGUUGGCGGGGUAACGGCCCACCAAGGCAUUGAUCGGUAGCCGGACUGAGAGGUUGGCCGGCCACACUGGAACUGAGACACGGUCCAGACUCCUACGGGAGGCAGCAGUGGGGAAUCUUGCACAAUGGGCGAAAGCCUGAUGCAGCAACGCCGCGUGGGGGAUGAAGCUUCUCGGAGUGUAAACCCCUUUCGACCCGGAAGAAAGCCCGCAAGGGUUUGACGGUACGGGUAUAAGAAGCCCCGGCUAACUACGUGCCAGCAGCCGCGGUAAAACGUAGGGGGCUAGCGUUGCUCGGAAUUACUGGGCGUAAAGGGUCCGUAGGCGGUGUGGCAAGUCGGUAGUGAAAUCUCUAGGCUUAACCUAGAGGCUGCUGCCGAAACUGCCGUGCUAGAGUGUGAGAGAGGCGAGUGGAAUUACGGGUGUAGCGGUGAAAUGCGUAGAUAUCCGUAGGAACAUCCGAGGCGAAAGCGGCUCGCUGGAUCACAACUGACGCUGAGGGACGAAAGCUAGGGGAGCAAACAGGAUUAGAUACCCCGGUAGUCC